rnacentral:rRNA from 1 species
AACGAACGCUGGCGGCGUGGAUAAGACAUGCAAGUCGAACGGGAGUUUGUUUAUAGCAAUAUGAGUGAACUCUAGUGGCGAAAGGGUGCGUAACACGUGGCUACCUACCUCGAAGUUGGGGAUAGCUCGGCGAAAGCCGGAUUAAUACCGAAUGUGAUCGUAAGAUCAAAGCUGGGGAUCGUAAGACCUGGCGCUUUGAGAUGGGGCUGCGGCCUAUCAGGUAGUUGGCGGGGUAAUGGCCCACCAAGCCUAAGACGGGUAGCUGGUCUGAGAGGACGACCAGCCACACUGGAACUGAGACACGGUCAGACACCUACGGGUGGCAGCAGUCGAGGAUUUUUCUCAAUGGGGGAAACCCUGAAGGAGCGACGCCGCGUGAGGGAUGGAAGGUCUUCGGAUUGUAAACCUNUGUCAUCUGGGAACAUGUAAUCUACCUAACACGUGAUUAUUGAUAGUACC